AUUUAGGUAGUUUAAGGAUUAAAACGUUAAUUUGUGGUAUUGAUGAUGUAAGAGUUGUUGCCCUGGAUC
rnacentral:tRNA from 1 species